rnacentral:rRNA from 1 species
CCUACGGGAGGCAGCAGUGGGGAAUAUUGCACAAUGGGCGCAAGCCUGAUGCAGCGACGCCGCGUGAGGGAUGACGGCCUUCGGGUUGUAAACCUCUUUCAGUAGGGAAGAAGCGAAAGUGACGGUACCUGCAGAAGAAGCGCCGGCUAACUACGUGCCAGCAGCCGCGGUAAUACGUAGGGCGCAAGCGUUAUCCGGAAUUAUUGGGCGUAAAGAGCUCGUAGGCGGUUUGUCGCGUCUGCCGUGAAAGUCCGGGGCUCAACUCCGGAUCUGCGGUGGGUACGGGCAGACUAGAGUGAUGUAGGGGAGACUGGAAUUCCUGGUGUAGCGGUGAAAUGCGCAGAUAUCAGGAGGAACACCGAUAGCGAAGGCAGGUCUCUGGGCAUUAACUGACGCUGAGGAGCGAAAGCAUGGGGAGCGAACAGGAUUAGAUACCCUGGUAGUCCAUGCCGUAAACGUUGGGCACUAGGUGUGGGGGACAUUCCACGUUUUCCGCGCCGUAGCUAACGCAUUAAGUGCCCCGCCUGGGGAGGUACGGCGCGAGACGUAAACUAAUAGAUGAGCGNGAGAGNGCGACGACGACGACGAGGGAGAGG